ncrna:unclassified sequences SAM-I/IV variant riboswitch
GCAAUACAUCAUGAGUGAAUAAGAAAUUAUUCCGCCAACCUGCUUGAGGAAGUAAGGUGGCAGAGAAUGUGGUCUUAAUUGACAAUUAGGUUCCUCGUUG